ensembl:snRNA U6 U6 spliceosomal RNA
GUGCCUGCCUUGGCAGCCCAAGUACCAAAACUGGAAUGAUACAGACAAGAGCAUAGACCCUGAGUAAGGAUGACAUGAAAAGUUGUGAAGAAUUCCAUCUUCUA